rnacentral:vault_RNA from 12 species
GGGUCAGCUUUAGCUCGAGCGGUUACUUCGCGACUUGUCUUCGGACUAACAACCCCCUUGCGGGGGUUCGAGACCCGCGGGCGCUCCCUGACCCUUUU